GAUGAACGCUGGCGGCGUGCCUAAUACAUGCAAGUCGAGCGAACAGAUGAGGAGCUUGCUCCUCUGACGUUAGCGGCGGACGGGUGAGUAACACGUGGAUAACCUACCUAUAAGACUGGGAUAACUUCGGGAAACCGGAGCUAAUACCGGAUAAUAUAUUGAACCGCAUGGUUCAAUAGUGAAAGACGGUUUUGCUGUCACUUAUAGAUGGAUCCGCGCCGCAUUAGCUAGUUGGUAAGGUAACGGCUUACCAAGGCAACGAUGCGUAGCCGACAUGAGAGGGUGACCGGGAAGAGUGGGAAGGAGGAGGGGCCAAGACUGCGACGGGAGGCAGCAGUGGGGAAUCUUGCACAAUGGGCGAAAGACGAAUGCAGCAAAGCAGGGUGAGGGAUGACGGCCUUCGGGGUGUAAACCUCUUUCGCCGGUGAAGAAGCGUGAGUGACGGGAAUGGGUAAAGAAGCAAGGGCUAACUACGUG
rnacentral:rRNA from 1 species